CUCAUAUCAGUUCCAGUUAGAUGACUCCCAAGCCUUACCUCGGAGGUGGGGUCAGAGUCAAGGUAUUGCAGACUGGAGAAUUGCCUUGCUGAAGACAGCAUCAUCACGUGAUUGGCAAAUGAUGGCAUGGUGUGACAUGAAGGUGUGCACCAAACUCCAUGUGGCAGCCCUGCAGAUGUUCUGAAGGGGUACAUGUGCCAGGAAGGCUGCCGAUGAGGCCUGAGCCCUCGUGGAAUACGGCGUGACAGCAGGCGGGAGGACUUUCGCUAAGUCAUAGCAAGCAUGAAUAUGCGCCAUGAUCCAGGAGGAUAUGCGCUGGGAGGAGACCGGUGAACCUUUCAUCCAUUCCACUAAGGCAAUGCAUAGUUGGGUUGUUUUGCGAAAUGGCUUUGUUCAGUCUAUGUAGAAGGCGAGCGCCCUUCUAAUGUCCAGCGGAUGCAACCACUGCUCCCGGAGGUGGCGUGCGGCUUUGGAUAGAAGACUGGUAGGAAAAUAUCCAGGCUGACGUGGAAGUGGGAGACGACUUUCAGUAGGAAGGCCAGAUGAGGCCUGAGCUGCACCUUGUCCUUAUGAAAGGAUGGUAUAUGGGGGCUCACACGUUGGAGAAUGGAUCUUUUCCAGCCCCUUUAGGAAACGACUCACGAUAGGGUGUGCAAACACUGACCACCCAGAAACACCCAGGUGAAAGGCUAAAAUAGCCGUGAGGUGGAUCCACUUUAAGAGAACUGAAUGCCAGGCGCUGAUCUUUCAGGUGCACCAGGUAGUCCGGGAUGCAUGGGAUAGAAGGCUGGAGUGGGAGCACCUGUCGCUGGGCACACCAGACAGAAAACCUCUUCCACUUUGCUUUGUAACUGGUCCUGGUAGAAGGUUUAUGGCUCUCUAGGAGCACUCACCUGAGUGGGUCCGAACAGGUGAGCUCUGCUUGGUUUAACCACAGAUCUUCCAGGCCGUAAGGUGAAGUGACUGUAGGUCUGGGUGGAGAAGGUGGCCGUGAUUUUGGGAGAUGAGAUCGGGAGUGAGAGAUGGGUGGAUUGGGGACCAGAUCGACAAGUCCAUGAAGAUGAGGUACCAGCACUAGCGAGGCCAAGCUGGAGCCACCAGGAUGACGUCCGCCUGGUCCCUGCAGAACUUGAGAAGCACCUUGUGGAUGAGAGGAAAUGGCGGGAAGGCGUACAGUAGUUGACUGGACCAUGGAAUCAGGAAGGCAUCUGCAAUCAAGCCCUGACUGUGACCCUGAAAAGAGCAAAAGGUUGGGCACUUCCCAUUGGCCCGCGUGGUUAACAGGUCAAUUCGGGGAAACCCCCAGCUGUGGAAGAUGGAGUGGAUGACAUCCGGCCGAAUCAACCAUUUGUGAGUGAGGAACUGUCUGGUCAAGCUGUCUGCCAGUACGUUCUGAAUGCCCAGAAGGUAUGAGGCUUGCAGUGGAUGGAGUGGGCUAGACAAAAUUCCCAUAGUAGGAGGGCUUCCAGGCAGAGGAGACAACCGAGCUCUGCCUUGCUUGUUUAUACAAAACAUAACCGUGGUCUUGUCCAUCAGCACCACUACACAGUGGCUCUGCAAGCCUGACAGGAAUGCUUGGCACACAAGGCAGAUUGCCCUGAGCUCCUUGAUGUUGAUAUGCAGGGCUCUCUCCUUUACAUGUCACAAGCCUUAAAUCGUCAUGCUCCCAAGAUGCGCUCCACAGCCAAGUGCCGAUGCAUCCUUCACCAAUGUGAGAGUAGGCUGGGGAGAAUGGAACUGUAUCUCGGCACUUAGCAAGUGGGGUUCCAGCCACCAGUGAAGGGAAUUGAGGCUAUGUCCAGACUGUCGCAGCCCAGGCAAUACGUAGAUGUGAGCCACGCCUGCAGGGCCUGAGCUGCUGCCUGGCAUGUUGCACCACAUAGGUGCAGGACGCCAUGUGACCUGGCACCUGGCAAAGGCACUGUCUCACCGUGGUGGUAGGAAAGUUGCAAAGGCCGGUGAUUACCUGCAUGAGGGCUAGGUGACAGACCUCUGGGAGGAACACCCUUACCCGGUUUGCAUCCAGGACUGCCCCAAUGAACUCUAUUGUUCGUGUUGGGGUGAGAAGAGACUUGUUGACAUUCAGAAUAAUGCCCAAGUGGUCGAACGUAUCUCUGACCAAUUGUACUUGCGAUUCUACCUGCUGGCGAGAUCGACCUCUUAUGAACCAGUCAUCUAGGUACGGGUGACAUGCACAUGGUUGCCUCAGGAAUAGGUGACCGAGAACAUGAAGAUGGACGGACGUCUGGAGGAGCGCCCUGGGCUUAGUGGUAUGUCCAGGGGGUCCAGAACUGCCAGUUGGGCACUGAGAUGUCCCAUCUGAUAUUGCCUGGGCCUGAUUGAGGUACCUCUGAUGCCCCCGAUGCCUUACCCAACCUGAGGGAGAGUUACUGGGAGAGUGACGGCCAAGGAGAGACGGUGCGCUGUGCCAGAGGAAUUUCUGCAUCCCCCAAAGAGCAGGAUGGGUGCCAUAUGGCUUGGCGGGAUCCAGACGGUGACCGGCGGUGCUGUUGUGGGGAUUGGUACCAGGAUGUCGUCCGGUGCCGAGAGGCUCAGCCUCGCCUCAGUGGAUAGUGGCCACGAGAGUGUGACCGUGAAUGGUUCCAUGUUGGGGAACAGUGCUGAGUCGGUGAGCGGUGCUGUGACAGAGACAACGACCUGGCAGCCUAUGUCCAUCUCGAGCAGAAACGGCUCAGAGUAUCGGGGCUGCGAGACCAGUGUCGCGAGCUGGACCGUCGCUGCGAGUCAGACCGGCACGGAGCAUGGGUGUGGUGCCAGGACUCAGCGGCACAGUGGUGCUGGUCUGGGGGCGGCCGGCCCAAAGAACACCGGCUUGCCCCUUGACAGUGCUGGGGCUCGAGCUGGUGUAGGCCUCGAGACUGGGUACUUGGGCACUAUUAUCUCAAUGAGGCCUCUGGCGGCCUCGAAGGUGUCGGGUGUGGAGGACAGCGUGAUCUCUUCCACCUGCAACUGCGAGGAGUCCAGCAGUGCGGGGCUCCCUUGGGGGAUAGGGGCUUGUGCAGGAUGAGGCCUACUGAAAAGCAGGUCGGCCUUAUGUCCCUGGUCCACGCCGUGCCCUGCCGGGGGUGCAACUGCAGCCUCGGGCCUUUGUGGAGGCUCCUCCGUGGCCUGCUUCUUAUGGGCGGCCGGAGAGUGAGAGGGUGCUGGGGAAGAGUGCUUUUGGGCCUGGGAGAUCGCCGGGCCCUAGAAGGGCAUGCUGAGUCCUUUUUUGGGUGCUGUAGUUGGCAUUGCCAGCGGGGCGCUCCGCACCAGGGCGCUCGGGGCUGGGUCUUGAAGCGGACGAAGGGCAUCCUCCAUUUGGAGUUGUUUAAGUCUAAUGUCCCUUUCCUUUCUAGUGCAAGGUUUAAAUGCUUUGCAAAUCCUGCACUUAUCCACUUGAUAGGCCUCUCCCAGACACUAAAGGCAGGAGUUGUGGGGGUUGCCUGUGGGUAAGGACUUGCCACAGGAACUGCAAGGUCUGAAGGAUAACUAACAAUAGUGUCACUAUACACAGAGAUAAGUAGAAUAGCUAAGGAGAAGUGGAGCACUUGUGAGCAAGAGACUGAGUUCCAACAACUGUCACUGGCAGUAAGAAGGAACUGAAGGGGGGGGCGGGGGCAGGCUGGCAGGGUCAUAUAUAGAGCAUCAUAUCGGUGCCACUCCAGGGGCCUCCACAGCUGGCCCAACGGGUAGCUGCUAGGGAAAAAAGUUCUGACAUCCGUGCAUGCGGCGUGUGCACACACCUAACUGGAAUAGAUAUGAGCAAGCACUCGAAGAACACUUGUACUUCCACAGAACAGGUAGGCUCUAACCCCACGAACCAUCAAGGAACCAUGCCCUGAGGUGGAGGACCCCUAGCUUGGGUUUGUGUAAAUGACCUACAUCUUGGAAGAAGAGAUAGUGGAUGAUCGGACGUUUGAUUGCCAGGUAGAUGGACAGAUGAAGCAGGCAAGGAUACCAAGCCUGUCUCAAUGAAGUCAGGAAUAUAAAGGAUUACUCUGGCCUUGUCUGGUCUUAUCUUGUUCAUCACUCUCAGUAUUAGGAGGAAUGCAUAGAAUGGAUCCUUCAUCCAAGAUAGUAGAAAGGCAUCUCCCAGAGACUGAUGGCGUAGACCUCUUGAGCAGAACAGAUGACAGUUCUUGUUCCUGAAGAUAGCAAAGAGAUCCACCUCUGGAAAUCCCCAAAUUUGGAAUAUACCAUGGAUCUGAGAGGCCAAUUCCCAUUCAUAGGCCUGCUCAGAGCAUUAUCUGAGGUGUUCGGGCUGCUUUGGAGGUGGACAGCUGAAAUAUGGAUGUGAUGGGUUAUAUACCAACUCCAUAGCUUUACUGCUUUGGCACAGGGAGGGGGAUCUUGCUCCCACUUGUUUGUUGAUAUAGAACAUGCAGGCUACAUUGUCUGUCAUGAUCCUGAUUGAUUUGCCCCUGAUGAGGGGCAGAAAAUGAAGGCAGGCAUUCCUGACUGCCCUGACUUCCAAGAUAUUGAUACAGAGAUUGGCUUCCUGAGGCAACCAUCUGCCCUGAGCAAGUACUGAGGUGAGCUCCCCAUCCUAAGAGGAAAGCAUCUGUUGUCACAGUGAUUGCUGGAUUUGGAUGAAGAAAAGGAAUGCCUGCACCAACGGGCCAGGCAGAAGUUAUGCUACUGGGAAAUGUGAGACUCUCCCAGGCAGCAGACACACAGUGUCCAGUGCAUAUCAAGAUAGCCUUCCAGCAAGAGAGGCAGCAUUUGAGACUUGAGAGAGCCAGGUAUGCUCUCUCCAACUGGAAGGAGAAGAACAAGGUUCCUUAUUGUACUAACCAGCCUUUUGGUUGAUGGAGGACACGAGUUACUGCAGAACCCUUUGAAACACUCCAAGUGGCCAGAGAGGUGACAACUUAGUGGCUAAAGGCAUCCUCUCGUCAGUUCCAGGAAUGCUUUAAUGCUCCCAUACCUUGUCCAGCACACAGCACACCAUUUUAAGAUCAUCAGAAUGGUUUCUCAUCAGGGGCAUUCAUGAAAGAGUACACCAUUUCCCCAGCUCUCUGUGCUCCAUUCUUUUCAGAGAGCAGGGAACUUAAGUAUGUAAUCCUAGCAACCUUAGUCAUAAUGGAACAGUCCAUUGUUAGGCAAUUCCACUGCAUGCAGAAACUUCUGCUCAAAAUUAUGGAGCUGGAAAUACUCAGCCAAUUGAGGUCACUUGAUUUGGGGUAAUUGACAGGCCUGUGCUUUUCAUCGGUUUUAAUUUUUACAAGAGAAUCAAGAGCACAGAGCUUUGAAUGGGAGCAUUUAUUGAAAUACAUAAAAACUCAACUAAAUAAAUGACUGGAUGACCAAAUCUGUAGGGGUUAUUCUUCUCCCCUCACUGUACACCAACAUUCCUUGCACCUGUCAUUUUUGUUUUUUAAACAGAGUCCUCCAUACAUAUCACACAUUGCUUUAGGGAAAAACCACAGACUAAAAUGAAAAAGAUAAGCAAGGCACGACAGAGAAGAAGUGACAAACUCUGAAGGGUUACAAUUACUCUUUCAUGAGCUGAUCCAUCUACCUCCUGCAGAGUAGCAGGGAAUGGGAGUGGAGUAGGCAGGCAAAGGAGUAUGUGUACAGGUCAGAGAGAAGAGCUGAAUGAGCAGGUAGGGUGGUUGUAAAACCAGGGGAGCAAAUUUGAAUAGAGAGAGGUAGGAAGCUAGAUGGGGCUAAUAUGACCUGGCUUCCCUAAAAAUCUCUCUCACUGCAGCAUUCUGGACCUCCUGGUUCCUAACAAGUAGUCCAUGGACUACCGGUAGCCCAGAGAGCUGUCCGGUUGCAUUGUGCUGGCUCUCAUCUAUUUCGAACAGCUCUGUAUAAAAACCUAGCAGCUGGCAAUUCUAUGGUAAUCAUUAUUAAACCAGAAUAGCUCUACUAUUCAGCUGUAAGAUCUGGUACUACCAUUGGCAAGAAGGGUGACAAAGCAGCACUUCAGGAGACACAGACUGACCAAGGUAGUUGCUCUGUUUAGUUUUUGACAACAUUCAGAGGUAGCUUUGGGUGGUGCAUAUGUGCUCCUAUAACAGUGCUAUCUGAUUAGCAUUUAACCUAGGGAAAUUUUUAACUUAACAAUUGGACAUAGUUUGCUGCCCUGCCCUCCACUCCCCAUCAAAUUGCAAAGGUUGGCUUAUACAAGAUUGUCUGAAGGUGCCUCUGAGAUAACCAGUGAGAAUUUAUUUAUCCUCACUCAUAUCCCCACUCACAGUUUCUCUGACUUCAGAAGAAGGGGCAGUAGGUCAUUCUCUCAGGGCUGUACAGAAGCUAAGUUAUCUCAACAAGCAGCUGAUAAAGACUGUGCAGCAGUGCUGGUUUAUUUUGGAGAGGGAUAAUUUACACAAGAUUUUGCCCUGGGUCAGAUGGAAAUCCUUGCAUUUCCAAAAUACAAUUUUAUUUUGGGAAGCAAAAAUAACUCAAGCUGUUAAACUCAAAACAGUCUCAAGUCUACCUCCCUAUAUUUGGAUGUAGAAUGAAAGUGUACAGACAAACAACUGUAUAGCAAAAGGCUCCAAAUACAGUUCUGAAUGUGCCUUUAAAGAACUUAAAAGAGUCCCUUGCCAUUAAUGUCCAUUUUCCAUAUCAAAGUAUGCUCAGUUUACAAGGGGGGUGGGGUGGAGGGAGACUCCUCCACUGCCCUCAGUUGCUUUCAGACCUUCAAGUUCAAACUCGGAUCUGAGUCAAGCUAACUUCUUCUCGGGCAUCAUGGCCUACAAGAGUUUUGCAGGCCAAAUCCAGCCUCCAGUGAUACCUGUGCAACCCCAUUAACUUCACUGAUUGGAACUUAGUAAAAACAAUUCUGCUGAAAAUGCACAAAUAGAAAGAGAAUCUGAUUCACGGAUCAAAUAUGGAAGAAACCUCAGGUCAUCUAGUCUAAUCCUCUGCUCAAAGCAGGGCCAACCCCACCUAACUCAUCCCAGCUAGGGCUUU